GAUGAACGCUGGCGGCGUGCUUAACACAUGCCAGUCGAACGGAAAGGCUCCUGCUUGCAGGGGUACUCGAGUGGCGAACGGGUGAGUAACACGUGGGUGAUCUGCCCUGCACUUCGGGAUAAGCCUGGGAAACUGGGUCUAAUACCGGAUAGGACGAUGGUUUGGAUGCCAUUGUGGAAAGUUUUUCGGUGUGGGAUGAGCUCGCGGCCUAUCAGCUUGUUGGUGGGGUAAUGGGCCACCAAGGCGUCGACGGGUAGCCGGCCUGAGAGGGUGUACGGCCACAUUGGGACUGAGAUACGGCCCAGACUCCUACGGGAGGCAGCAGUGGGGAAUAUUGCACAAUGGGCGCAAGCCUGAUGCAGCGACGCCGCGUGGGGGAUGACGGCCUUCGGGUUGUAAACUACUUUCGCUAGGGACGAAGCGCAAGUGACGGUACCUGGAGAAGAAGCACCGGCUAACUACGUG
rnacentral:rRNA from 1 species